AAUGAACGUUGGCGGCGUGGAUUAGGCAUGCAAGUCGAGCGGCAGCAGGCCCGCAAGGGCGCUGGCGAGCGGCGCAAGGGAGAGCAACACGCGGGUACCUACCCCCGGGACCGGGAUAGCUGCGGGAAACGGCAAUUAAGACCGGAUAAUGUCCCCGGACCAAACGUGUGAUUCCGCCUGGGGAGGGGCCCACGUCCUAUCAGCUCGUUGGGGAGGUAAUGGCUCACCAAGGCAACGACGGGUACGGGGUGUGAGAGCAUGCCCCCGCUCACUGGGACUGAGAUACUGCCCAGACACCUACGGGUGGCUGCAGUCGAGAAUCUUCCGCAAUGGGCGAAAGCCUGACGGAGCGACGCCGCGUGCGGGAUGAAGGCCUUCGGGUUGUAAACCGCUGUCAGAGGGGAACAAAUUCAUGGGGGUUCUCCCCUGUGUUUGAGUGAUCCUCAGAGGAAGCACAGGCUAAGUCCGUGCCAGCAGCCGCCGUAA
rnacentral:rRNA from 1 species